GAUGAAGAACGCAGCGAAAUGCGAUAAGUAAUGUGAAUUGCAGAAUUCAGUGAAUCAUCGAAUCUUUGAACGCACAUUGCGCCCGCCAGUAUUCUGGCGGGCAUGCCUGUUCGAGCGUCAUUUCAACCAUCAAGCCCUGCUUGCGUUGGGGUCCUGCGGCUGCCCGCAGGCCCUUAAAACCAGUGGCGGGCUCGCUAGUCACACCGAGCGCAGUAAUACAUCUCGCUUUGGGCGUGCGGCGGGUUCUUGCCGUUAAACACCCCCUUUUUACCAAGGUUGACCUCGGAUCAGGUAGGAAUACCCGCUGAACUUAAGCAUAUCAAUAAGCGGAGGA
rnacentral:misc_RNA from 1 species